GGAUCCUACCAACAUGUGAUGUCUCCCCCGGAAGCCCAGCUUUAAAAUUUCUCUCUUUUGUACUCUGUCCCUUUAUUUCUCAAGCCAGCCGACACUUAAGAAAAUAGAAAAGAACCUACAUGAUUAUCGGACCAGUAACCCAAGAGCACCCACUCAGGGCCACGGCUCAGGCAGGAACCUGGGAUGCAAGGAUGGAUGGCACAUGGUCCUCCCUCCAGGAGAUCACAGUGUAGGGAAAUCAACGAGGACCCAUAGUGAGCCCCUCCAUCCCACGUACCCCCUCCUCUAUCCACUUGUGGGCACUGCAGCCUGGACUUCUGCAUCAGCAGCUGUGUGGAGGUCUGUUACCCUGAGAUCUGCAGCCAGGACAGGGGGCUGUGCCCAGGAACAAGGGAGACUGGCUGCUGACUGUCCUCUUACUGCUGGGCCUGUCCCUUCCAAUCAGCGCCCGGGGCUCUGAGCACAUUGCUUUGCUGGUGUCUGUGAGCAGCUGGAGAUGGUGGUGAACGGUCUGUUUGCAUUUCUUGGAAGAAGAUCUUUUAUUCUGCUGCUCAACCCAGGUCUCUGCCUUCCUUAGAGACUGAGGCCCAUCCUUCAGUUUCCCUGAUUCUGGAAGAGCAGGGGGGUUGAAUGGAGCAGGAGGUCAUGAUGGAGACUUGGGCCCCAGCAUCCCGCAGCAUUUGCAGCGCCUCCUUAUAUAGG
rnacentral:lncRNA from 1 species